rnacentral:rRNA from 1 species
CCUACGGGUGGCAGCAGUGGGGAAUAUUGGUCAAUGGACGAGAGUCUGAACCAGCCAAGUAGCGUGAAGGAUGACUGCCCUAUGGGUUGUAAACUUCUUUUAUAUGGGAAUAAAAUGUUCCACGUGUGGGCGUUUGUAUGUACUAUAUGAAUAAGGAUCGGCUAACUCCGUGCCAGCAGCCGCGGUAAUACGGAGGAUCCGAGCGUUAUCCGGAUUUAUUGGGUUUAAAGGGAGCGUAGAUGGAUGUUUAAGUCAGUUGUGAAAGUUUGCGGCUCAACCGUAAAAUUGCAGUUGAUACUGGCUGUCUUGAGUACAGUAGAGGUAGGCGGAAUUCGUGGUGUAGCGGUGAAAUGCUUAGAUAUCACGAAGAACUCCGAUUGCGAAGGCAGCUUGCUGGACUGCAACUGACACUGAGGCUCGAAAGUGUGGGUAUCAAACAGGAUUAGAUACCCGGGUAGUC